UGCAACUGAACAAUAAGCAGAUCUUGAGUAGGAAUGGGGGCUGAAGUGCUCAGUGUGCACAGCCAUGGGCUGACACUCACAAAUACAAAUUAUAUUCUUGUCUCUAUGGUGGACACUGAUCAUGUAUUCCCAUAUGCUCUUCUUUUUUCCACCUGCAAGUUCUCCACAGAGGGCAGAGCAGUGUCUGGGGUGGCUGACUGGCCAGGGACUGCCAAGCAAAUUCAUUGUGAUGUUGCAAAUCUGAAAUCACGCAGGGGCUGAACUUGCAGCCUCGCUCUGGCUCAGCAAAAUAUGUGGAUUAGGACCAGGCCCAGCCACCCAGCCUAAGAGCACUCGAUGAGAGGGAAGCAGCCCCUGCCUGGGCCUGUCAGACAGCCCUGUGACAAAUGGCCUCAAGGCCAGAGAGCAACUCUGUCAAAGCAGGCCCUGAGACUUGGCUAGUAGCUCCCCAAGGCCAGGACAGAACUCAGCCAGGGCCUCGAGGCUUAGUGGACACUCAGUGCUACAGUACACAGCCUACUGGAAUUUGUCUCUGAAAUAUAUUUAAUCACAUAGGAAAAAGAAUGGAGUAGAGAGUUUCCUUUGGUAAGAUUUUGACCAGAAUAUGUGCCUUGAUAUGCAUUAGAGAAGAUGGAAAGGGCUGAUGUAGAUGCAGCUCAGAUGGGUAAAUGUACCCAGUUAUCACAACUGUGCUGCUCGUUGCCAUUAGCCUGCUUUCUAUCACACCCUGUGCAUGGAUAUGGUCUGUGGCUGUGUAAUACCCAACAGAUCUGUUUCACAUGUGCAGAAAAGGAUCUAAUUGAACAGGAAAAUGUUACUGUUCUUGCAACAAAGCUUUUAGUGUCUUCAGUAAAUAGCCACUCUCCAGGAAAUAUAUUGAUCUGUGUACUGAACCUCUUUGUGGAUUGCUUGCAAAAGUUCAUGUCAAGUCAUUUUCUAUGUUUAUUAUUUACUCCUAAUAACAUUGACAAACCCAUUAGGUGCUGACAGUUGUAAAGUUUUUCAGAUGAGAAAUUCUUAGCCCUUUCUCGAUGUAGAUAAAGGUUACAAGACCCAUUUAAUGGGAUUAAUUUGAUCUCUAAUUAGUAAUAAACGUAAAACUUCAGUAGAUUUGACA
rnacentral:lncRNA from 1 species